CAAGGAUGUGCUACUUUUUGUAGCAUUUUGGAAAAUGCCAACAUCUUUUCAGCCGAAUCUCAGAGUUCUAAAACUGGGGCCAACAACUCAGUUGCUGCACAAAAGCGACAGCUAGCUAGUAGCAGGCUAGCAACUGUAGCUAGCUAACUAACACCAGUUGGAUGAAAAGCAAGCUGCAAAGGAAGCUAGCUACCUUGAUAUAUUGGGCUAUUGAAGAGUUUUCACAUGGCUGAAGUCAUCUGUGUAACAAAAUUAGAGCGCAAACAAAUAAGACAGUGAAUGUCCUUGGCUGCUAUUAAACACAUAUAGAUAGCCAACAACUAUCCACAGGAACCGGGAUUCAUUGGACCAGGCAAUAUUUUCCACACCUCAAUUAUCCAGUGUUGCUGAUCACAUGCCAUGUUUUUCAUGCAAUGUUUUCCACACCUCAAUUAUCCAGUGAUGGUGAUUGCAUGCCAGUGUUGUCAUCUGCUGCAAUAGCCCAUCCAUGACAAGGAUUGACAACUUGACUGCUGCUGACUGGAUGUUUUUGAUUGUAACACCAUUCUCGGUAAACCCUAGACACUGUCGUGUGUGAAAAGCCCAGGAGGGCAGCCAUUUCUGAGAUACUGGAUCCGGCGAACUUUGCACCGACGAUCAUACCACGCUCAAAGGUGAACGAGGAGCAGGAGGAGGAGGAGGAGGAGGAGGAGGAGGAGGAGGAGGAGGAGGAGGAGGAGGAGGAGGUGGUGGUGGUGGUUUACCGGAAUAAAGAAACUGAGAUUUGAAUAUGGAGUGAACCCUAAAGACCCAGAGUGGAGGACUUUCCACUGGUGACAACAUUUUUACUUUCGGAAAAAAAAGGUGCAGAGGCAUAUCAUUCACGUUUGCAUGAUAGAUGAUCAGAAUAAGCUGAUCAAAGCUUGACUGUUGGAAUUGUCAUUGAGGACCAUAUGAAUAAUUUAGCACAUUAAUAUGAAUUAAAUAAUGAUCAAAAUGAUGCAUUACUUCAUUUGGUGUACCUACAGAGGAAUGGUGUUUCUCAAAAGACCCAGCUUUUUGAAGUACAUGGUCCUAUCUUUAGACUCAAGACAUAUGGCCCAUUUAAAUGGUAAUUGUCAUUAGAAUGUGUAGAUACUCCAGAGCACCCAGCAUCCAGAGCGCAGCGGAUAAGAAACCUUGACAUAUGACAGUCUUUACAAGGCUUUCUUCAAAGGUGAAAAGUGCUGAGAUUUAACAAUGUUAAGUGGAAGAAGUAUGUUGUGUCAGGAAUCAAAUGUAAUUUCCUUCGAAUGAGGAAGUGGCAUGAACACAGAGGGUGCAUUUGGAUUGUUUCUGAGAUGUUGCUAGAUCAGUUGAGUUGUGAUGAGUGUGGGCGGACUGUACCUCUGACUACAUCAACUGUAAAUUGAAACCUGUAAAAAUGUACCUCUGAUGUAGCGCCCAUAUUUGAUGUACAGUAUAUACCUAUCAUGUUCAGCUAAGAUGAAACUAAACUGAAAUAUAAAGCAUGAAUAAAGUCACAUCGUAAGUAUUUAUUAAUCCAUAUUUAUUGAACAAAAGUCAAAAUUUAGUGGCAUCUACCCGUCAAAUUCUUUCAGAUAACCAAAGGCAUUUGAAACUUUUCUUUGCCUCAAAUUACUAUUAGAAUACAGCCAUAUCCUCUAAAAAAAACAUUAAACUAUACAGAUAAUGUAAGCCACGUGCUCCAUGGGAUUACUCUACCUGAUUAUACAACACAAAAUACAAGUCUUAAUUCGCUUACCUUAUAUCUUGCUCUCUGAUUAGUACAAAUAUCAAAUAUACUGAACAAAAAUGAAUUAAAAAAAACAUGGAAAGUGUUGUUCCCAUGUUUCAUGAGUUUAAAUAAAAUAUCCCAG
rnacentral:lncRNA from 1 species